ensembl:snRNA U1 U1 spliceosomal RNA
GUAAUUACCUGGCAGAGGUGAUUCCAUGAUCAUGAAAAUGGUUUCUCCAGGGCAUUCUGUAUGGGCUGACCCCUUUGAUUCCCCCAAGUAUGGGAAACUUGACUGCAUAAUUUGUGGUAGUGGGGGAUUCCAUUGGCACUUCAA